UGUGGAGACCUGUAGCUCAGUGGUUAGAGCACUCGCCUCACAAGCGAGAGACCCGGGUUCGAAUCCCGGCAGGACAA